CUACGGGUUGCAGCAGUGGGGAAUAUUGCACAAUGGGCGCAAGCCUGAUGCAGCCAUGCCGCGUGUAUGAAGAAGGCCUUCGGGUUGUAAAGUACUUUCAGCGGGGAGGAAGGGAGUAAAGUUAAUACCUUUGCUCAUUGACGUUACCCGCAGAAGAAGCACCGGCUAACUCCGUGCCAGCAGCCGCGGUAAUACGGAGGGUGCAAGCGUUAAUCGGAAUUACUGGGCGUAAAGCGCACGCAGGCGGUUUGUUAAGUCAGAUGUGAAAUCCCCGGGCUCAACCUGGGAACUGCAUCUGAUACUGGCAAGCUUGAGUCUCGUAGAGGGGGGUAGAAUUCCAGGUGUAGCGGUGAAAUGCGUAGAGAUCUGGAGGAAUACCGGUGGCGAGGGCGGCCCCCUGGACGAAGACUGACGCUCAGGUGCGAAAGCGUGGGGAGCAAACAGGAUUAGAUACCCCUGUAGUC
rnacentral:rRNA from 1 species